rnacentral:rRNA from 1 species
CGGAACGGGUGAGUAACGCGUGAGGAACCUGCCUCAAAGAGGGGGACAACAGUUGGAAACGGCUGCUAAUACCGCAUAAGCCCACGGCUCGGCAUCGAGCAGAGGGAAAAGGAGUGAUCCGCUUUGAGAUGGCCUCGCGUCCGAUUAGCUAGUUGGUGAGGUAACGGCCCACCAAGGCGACGAUCGGUAGCCGGACUGGGAGGUUGAACGGCCACAUUGGGACUGAGACACGGCCCAG